GUCAGGGUGCGGGUCAGGGUGCGGGUCGGGGUCGGGGUCGGUGGGCUUUCUCCCCACAGCACGAGCAGCUCCUCAGCUUUCCUCGGAGCUGGCCCCAGCCGCACACACGCCUCAGAGGCACCAGCACCGAGUGCGGCUGGCCGGCAGCAAGCACAAAGUGCAGGGAACUGCUUCACGGCGAGACCUGCGCGCUGCACCACUGCCUGCACCGGCACCGGGGGGCACACCGGGCACCAGGGGCUGCGGGGAGGCCAGAGGCACCGGCAGAGACCUCGAGACCUCACACCAGCGGCUCCCUGGGUGCCGGUGGCAGCGGGGCCUGGGCGCUGCUGCUUGUAAAGGACCCGAGGGAGCGCCGAGGAAAUCCCAGCCCGCGAGGGCAGCAGCUGCAGCGGGCGAAGCGGGGGGAACCUGCUUCUGGCACCGGGCACAGGGCGGAGCGGCAGGGAAGGCACACGGCAGCCUUGGGGCUCAGCCGGUCCUGCGCCCGCCGCAGCGCUGCCCACGCCUGCGGGGCAAGGGGCAGCCGUGGCUCGUGGCACAGCACCUGCGGCAGCACCGGGCACAGCUCGGCAGGGGUUUGGGGCCAUUUCCCUCUCCGGUGCUCAGGGCAGGACGCAAGGGGCGGGUGCGGAGCAGGGCCGGCCGGUCCCGGGGCACGCGGAGCCCCGCGGCUUCGCCUCUGCACCCCGACGGAGCAGCGAUGCUGUGAAACUGGGCACGGCUUCGUGCUAACGGCGCUUCAAAGGAAUAUUGAAAAAUCAAAGAGAUUUUGAAGAGACCCACGCAGAGCGAUUUGAGGGCUAGAGCGAGUGCCUUACAGCAGAAGAUUUAAAGAGCACAAUCUGUUCGGCUUAUCCAAAAGAAGAUUGAGGGGUGACUUGAUUACACUGUAGAAGCACUUUCGCAGGGAAAUAUUAAAUGGCUCUUUAAUUGAGCCAGGAAAGAUAUAAAAAGACUCAAUCGCCAGAAGCUGAAGCCAGACAAAUCCACAUUGAAAAUUAGGCAAAAUUUAAUCGGUGAGGGUGAUUAACCACUAGAUAAAGCACGUGGAAUUUGAGCAGUCACAACCACUCCAAUGAUUUUUUUCAGACACGGCUUAUUUUCUACAUCCUCAAAGUUAUAAAUCCUCUUUCUGCUUCGUAUGCAAUACAUGCGUUCUUCUAAAAUCUGCUGCUCCUUUUGCAUCCUGCCCUCCAGCCCCCUCCCAGCCCUGCGAUCCUCUUUCCUCUUUGCAGCAGCCUCUCCUCCAGUCCCGGGCGCUUGCUCUGCCUUCCUGCCGGGGGCCGAAAGCUGCGCCCUAGAGCUGUGCCUGUAGCUGAAUCAUCAUUGCUAAAACCCUCCCCUUCUCUCUCCCCGGUGCAUGCAGCAAGCUCCCGUGAUUUCUCCCCCUCCGUGCCCCAGCGGCUCUUCCACACCCCGCGUGCCGGGUUCGACGCCUCCUGCACCCUGCACCCUCCCCACACCUCCCACGGCUCCUGCUCGACACUGCCUCUGCCCGGGUGACCCGCGAACACCGUCUGCUCUGCAGACAGCUUGCCAGCUGUCCUUCCGUCUAAAAACUUUGCUCUAAAACCUGUGCCAAGGAAUCCCUAAGUAAUGCACGUCACUUUUUUAAGUACUCAAUAGAAAGGCGAAGGUUGUGAGAUUUUCACCAGGCUCCUGCGGUCCCUGGGGCCAGCAGCUGGCCUGGAGCUGGGCUCCCUCUUCCAACCCCACUACAGCUUAUUUAAAUAAUUUACCAGCAGCUAAUAAUAAAUUUUGAAUAAAUAAUAAUAAAAUAAUUUUU
ensembl:lncRNA